AACGCGAAGAACCUUACCUGGGCUUGAACUACUGGUAGUAAGUCCUUGGAAACAGGGGCUGAUCCGCAAGGAAGCCAGCAGAGGUGCUGCAUGGUUGUCGUCAGCUCGUGUCGUGAGAUGUUGGGUUAAGUCCCGCAACGAGCGCAACCCCUAUCCAAUGUUGCUACUCCCGCAAGGGAGGCACUCUUUGGAAACUGCCUUCGAUAAGAAGGAGGAAGGUGGGGACGACGUCAAAUCCUCAUGGCCCUUAUGUCCAGGGCCACACACGUGUUACAAUGGCCGGUACAAUGGGAAGCAAUACCGCAAGGUGGAGCCAAACCCCAAAGCCGGCCCCAGUUCAGAUUGUGGGCUGCAACUCGCCCACAUGAAGGCGGAAUCGCUAGUAAUCGCUGAUCAGCAGGCAGCGGUGAAUACGUUCCCGGGCCUUGUA
rnacentral:rRNA from 2 species